rnacentral:tRNA from 1 species
GGUGGGAUGGCCGAGUGGUCCAAGGCGACAGAUUUAAGCUGACUAAGCAUCAGUACUCUGUUACUCGUGAGAGUGCGCGGGUUCGAACCCCGCUCCCAUCA